rnacentral:rRNA from 1 species
GCUUAACACAUGCAAGUCGAACGGAUUAUUCUUUAUAGCUUGCUAUAAAGAAUAGUUAGUGGCAGACGGGUGAGUAAUGCAUAGGAAUCUACCUAGUAGUAUGGGAUAGCCACUAGAAAUGGUGGGUAAUACUGUAUAAUCCCUGCGGGGGAAAGAUUUAUCGCUAUUAGAUGAGCCUAUGUUAGAUUAGCUAGUUGGUAGGGUAAAGGCCUACCAAGGCGAUGAUCUAUAGCUGGUCUGAGAGGAUGAUCAGCCACACUGGAACUGAGAUACGGUCCAGACUCCUACGGGAGGCAGCAGUGGGGAAUAUUGGACAAUGGGCGCAAGCCUGAUCCAGCUAUGCCGCGUGAGUGAGGAAGGCCUUAGGGUUGUAAAACUCUUUCAGUAGGGAAGAUAAUGACGGUACCUACAGAAGAAGUCCCGGCAAACUCCGUGCCAGCAGCCGCGGUAAUACGGAGGGGGCAAGCGUUGUUCGGAAUUAUUGGGCGUAAAGGGCAUGUAGGCGGUUCGGUAAGUUAAAGGUGAAAUGCCAGGGCUUAACCCUGGAGCUGCUUUUAAUACUGCCAGACUAGAGUCCGGGAGAGGAUAGCGGAAUUCCUAGUGUAGAGGUGAAAUUCGUAGAUAUUAGGAGGAACACCAGUGGCGAAGGCGGCUAUCUGGUCCGGUACUGACGCUGAGGUGCGAAAGCGUGGGGAGCAAACAGGAUUAGAUACCCUG